rnacentral:lncRNA from 1 species
AUGAAUCUGACGAGACCUGAAAUCCCAGUAGACCAUGUUCAGACAGGUUCUACAGGUCCCACAGGUCCCACAGGUCCCACAGGUUCCACAGGUCCCACAGAUCUCACAGGUCCCAAAGGUUCAACAGGUUCCACAGGUUCUACAGGUCCCACAGGUCCUACAGGCCCUACAGGUUCCACAGGUUCCACGGGUCCCAAAGGUUCCACAGGUUCUACAGGCCCUAUAGGCCCUACAGGUUCUACAGGUCCUACAGGUCCUACAGGUCCCACAGGUUCUACAGGUUCUACAGGCCCUACAGGUUCUACAGGUUCUACAGGUCCCACCGGUCCUACAGGUCCCACAGGUCCCACAGGUUCUACAGGUUCUACAGGUCCUACAGGUCCUAUAGGUUCUACAGGUCCAGAUGAACCGUUUACUGCUGCUUCAAACCCUCAGGGAGAAAUGUGUACUUCUGUCAGUACUUCAGUCUGUCCAUGCUGACGCACACACCCCGGUCCCAACACACGACUGUGAGGCUCUUGACCCACAUUUUAUGAACUUAAAUUUACAUGAAAGUGUCUUGAAUCUCAUCUGGAUUUAAUCUGGAUACGAGACACCAUCAUAUAGCAAAUAAAUUAAAGAAUAACUGCAGCUCCACUUUCAUUCUUCCUUCUCUAAUUAGUGGUUUGUACAAAGUCGUCCACGUUGUUGUGGACACAGUCGUCUUUGUUUGAUCUGCAGUUUCUGGCCUGCAGGAAAUGCAAUUUAUAAAAAUACACAUCCUCCUCCGUUCAACAUGCAAACAUUUAAACUGUCAGUUCACAAUAAAAAUGCUCACAUCCAACUGUAGAACCCCAACGAGCUCGGCUCCGUUCUUCUCAAAUUCAUCACCGCUCGAUUUUAUUGAUCUCAAACUUCUUCACCAGCAGGAUGAACAGUUUCACAUGUGGUGACAUUUGAUCUGAAAAGGUCAGAAAGAUUUUGAAUCAGUUUUUAAUAAUAGAAUUCUUCAGCCGUGAUGUUGCAUCAGACGUUGUGCAACAGCGAGUCUAAAAGAUUUCUUCUGGUUGUUCUUGCAUGGAAACAAAUAUCAACACAACAACACAAAAGAUGGAGGAGGAAGGAGAGACGUCAACAAGAGGGAAGAGGAGAGGAGGAGAAAGUCUGUGGAGCAGGAUGAGCGGAGGAGAAGAGGAGAAUGUGAAAGGAAGAGCAGAAGAAAAGAGAAGGAGAGAGGAGUCAGUCGGGAUGAGAGGAGGAGAAGAAGAACGAGAGAUGAAAACAUGUUGAUGAAGAACGGCAGAGGAACACGGAGCAGAUGUAAGACGGCAAGACAAUAUACCUCAUGAAUUAAUGAAUAAUAAUUCAUACAUAUAUUUUUAUUAAUCUUAAAUUUAUGUUGACAAAUCUUCAUGGUUUCUCAGUGAAAGAGAUUUCAUGGAUACACGAGUGGAGCUGAAAGAGUGAGAGAAGAAGAUCCAAUAAAGUAGAUAAAGAUAAUAAUAUGCGUCCCUGUCGUUUGUUCCCGGAGGAAAUCGAAUGUUCCUGAAUGUUACAUUUACGUGACGUCGCUGUGAUUCCUUGACUUGAAGUCGGAGCAGCAGACUCCAUGUAGCAGAUGAACCAGUGAACAUUCUUCGUGUGAACAGUAAAAGAUUCAUGAAGCUGCUCACGACACAUUCUGCCUCCGGACUCCCGGAGGUUUCAGGCCUGAAGGUUCGACACAGCAGCUGCUUCACUCUCAUCUGUUCCUCUGGCUUCUUCCUCCUGUGGAUCAACGACGAGUCUGUUUGGUUCCUGGUGGAUUCGUGAAGCUUGAUGAGCUCGUUCACUGAGCUGAAAAUGAACCACGUCAGUUCCAUGUGAGGACGGUGAAAACAAUAUUCAUCUGAUCUCAGUGAUGUUCUUUUAUUAUUUACUGUCAUUUGAUUCAACUCAUUGUUCCAGCAACAAGACGUGUGAGCAGUUUCUAAUAUUUAACACAAAGAGCAGACGAUGAUGAGUUAUCACAGAUAUUGGACGUCAAUCAUCAUGUCAUGAUCAUGUCAGUGACAGCUGUCAAUCAUGACGUCCAGUGUAGUCUGUAGGUUUCUUGAUCCGAGCUCGUUAGUUUUUGCCUUCAGCUUCUGCCUCAACACUUUUAGGAUUUGUUUGUCUGAUCUGUCGUCUGGUGUUUUCUACUAAACGACAUUGUGAGUUUGUAUUUGUGUCCGAACCUCGUGUGAAGCUCUCAGUGUUUGAUCUGGACCAAAGAUCAGAUACGUGAAGAUCCAGCAGCCUCUUGUUGCCUCUGUGGACUGUUUGUUGGUGCAGAGUUCAUGAAUGUGUUGUUUGUCAGUUUGUAUUAUUUAUGCAGUAGAAGUGAACUCAAGCUGUAAACUGCUGAUCUGAGCUGAGCAGGAUCCAGCACAUCUCCUCAAUUCUGCACUGAUCCAAACCUGCAGUCAAACAGCAGAGCACACACACACACACACACCACACACACCCAGCACACACACACACACACACUCACCCCCAGCACACACACACACACACACACACACACACACACACACACACACACACCACACACACCCAGCACACACACACACACACACUCACCCCCAGCACACACACACACACACACACACACACACACACACCCAGCACACACACACCCAGCACACACACACACACACACACACGCACGCACACCGCCCACGCACACACACACACACACACACACAAACACACACACACACACACACACACACCCAGCACACACACACCCACACACACAUACCCCCACACACACACACACACACACACACACACACACACACACACACACACACACACACACACCACACCCUGGCUCAUUAACGUACAGUACACACACACACACACACACACACACACACUGAUGUAUUUUUCAUGCUCUGUUUCUCUCUGCACACACAACCUCAGCCAAGCCUGAAUGAAACAUUCAUGCAGCAGAUCUCAUUUACAUACCGAGCAUCCGUCCACAAACUAUAUCACCUGCUUCAGUCCUCAGGCGAAGUCCAACCUAAACUCUCCCAAAACACACUUCAAACAACCGUUCACGUCCACCGAGCAGCUUGUCGGAGAAAACAGGAAGUACAUUGUCCUCUCUGCA